CCCUACAUAUAUCGUAUGCUCUAC
rnacentral:siRNA from 1 species